rnacentral:rRNA from 1 species
UACAUGUGGGGCAAGCGUUGUUCGGAAUUACUGGGCAUAAAGGGUGCGUAGGUGGUUGCGUAAGUAACGUGUGAAAUCCCUCGGCUUACCCGGGGAAUUGCGCGUUAUACUGCGUGACUUGAGGAUUUCAGGGGAAUGGGGAACUCCAGGUGUAGCGGUGAAAUGCGCAGAUAUCUGGGGGAAGGCCGGCGGCGAAGGCGCCAUUCUGGGAAAUUCCUGACACUGAGGCACGAAAGCGUGGGGAGCAAACAGG